rnacentral:misc_RNA from 1 species
AAGUCGUAACAAGGUUUCCGUAGGUGAACCUGCGGAAGGAUCAUUACUGAGUUAGGGUUCUUUUGAGCCCGAUCUCCAACCAUUUGUUAAACUACUUUGUUGCUUUGGCAGGCCUUGUCCUUUCGGGGACUGCUGGAGGAGUUUAUUCACCUCUGGACAGUGCCUGCCAGUAGCCAAAUUAAAUCCUUUUUAACUAUGUCGUCUGAUAUAUAAUUAUAAAUAUAAUUAAAAG